rnacentral:rRNA from 1 species
GAAAUAUAAGUAAAAUUUAAUUGAUUAAUCGAAUAAAAUUUUAAAUACAUUGAUAUAAUGACGAUAUGUAUAUACGGUCUUGACAAAAUACGUGCCAGCAGUCGCGGUAAUACGUAUGAGACUAGCGUUAUUCAUCUUAAAUAGGUUUAAAGGGUACUCAAACGGUCAAAUUAUCCUUUACUAGGUAAUAUUUGUCUAGAGUUUUAUGUAAGAAGACAGUACUUAGAGUGGAGAGAUUAUAUUCUGUGAUACCAAAGGGACUGGCAAUGGCGUAGGCAGUCUUUUAUGUAAAAACUGACGUUGAAGGACGAAGGCAUAGAUCGCAAACAGGAUUUGACACCCCAGUAGUCUUUGCAGACAAUGAUGAAUGCCGUAGAUUAGAUGAGAAUUUAGUCUAUCAAUGAAAAUAAAAGCAUUUCACCUCAAGAGUAAUGUGGCAACGCAGGAACUGAAAUCAC